AAUUUAUGGGAUGAUGACGUCGUUUGGGAUAGAGGUAUGGAAAAAACUGCAUUAUGUCCAAAACUUUACUACAGUGGAGCCAGUCAACAUGUGUACAACUUAACACCUAACAAAAAUGGCUCCAAAAAGUAUACAUAGCACUAUUUCUGUUCAUCCCAUCUGAAUGGAAAAUUUUACUUAGCUGGUAAUUCUCAAAAUGUUUUGUUGACUCAGGGAAGGGGAAACAUAUUUUACAUGCACAGAAUGCUUCAGAACUUUUCUGCUCGGCUACCAAUCUGCCAUGUAGGUUGAUAAUCAAAGUCCUAAAGUACAGUUUAGUUCUUUGGGCCUACAGGGACACCUUGUUGACUAACUGGCUUCAGCCAAUUUUUUUCAGUUCACACACAAGAUCAAUUUCUUUGUCAGCAAAUACCUUUUAGAAAAAGUACACUACAAACACACUUGGAAAACAUUUUAUUAAGUACUGUAUAAACAGCUAUUUAGAUAAUAAUUGCAUAGAACUAUACCAAGGUAAUUGUGUCUUUAAGGAACAACUACCAAGUGAACAAGAUGAGCAAAGUCCUCUAUUAUACAAGAUUUCCUUCGGUGGAACAUUAUGGUGACAAAGCAGCGUAAUGGGCUCUUAAGCAGAUUGAUUUUUAUCAAACUGGACAUAUCAGAAUUCCUUAUGUAUAAGAGAAAUAUGCACAUGCUCCUUUCAAGAAAAGAGUGAUAACCCACCAUGGAAUUACCUCCAGUUUAAACAUGUACUCUUGACUGCCAAAAAUAUCGAGAUAUGUUAAGCAAGAUAAAGCAGCAGAACACGCUUUAAAAUAUGUUGAUCUCUUUCUGUAAUCUACAUGUUAAUAUUAAAUGUUCUUAUCCUUGGCA
ensembl:lncRNA novel transcript